rnacentral:rRNA from 1 species
GAUGAACGCUAGCGGCAGGCCUAACACAUGCAAGUCGUGGGGCAGCGAGGGUAGCAAUACCUGUCGGCGACCGGCGCACGGGUGAGUAUCGCGUAUGCAACCUUCCUCUAACUGGGACAUAGCCCGGCGAAAGUCGGAUUAAUUUCCCAUAACAUCACGAAAGGGCAUCUGAUUGUGAUUAAAGCUCCGGCGGUUAGAGAUGGGCAUGCGUGCCAUUAGUUUGUUGGUGAGGUAACGGCUCACCAAGGCUCCGAUGGCUAGGGGGUCUGAGAGGAUGAUCCCCCACACUGGUACUGAGACACGGACCAGACUCCUACGGGUGGCAG